UACGUAGGGGGCAAGCGUUGUCCGGAAUCAUUGGGCGUAAAGCGCGUGUAGGCGGCUCGAUAAGUCUGCUGUGAAAGUCCAGGGCUCAACCCUGGGAUGCCGGUGGAUACUGUCGAGCUCGAGUCCGGAAGAGGCGAGUGGAAUUCCUGGUGUAGCGGUGAAAUGCGCAGAUAUCAGGAGGAACACCGGUGGUGUAGACGGCUUCUGGACCGUAACUGACGCUGAGACACGAAAGCGUGGGUAGCAAACAGG
rnacentral:rRNA from 1 species